CAGUUUCUGCUCCUGCCAUGGUGACCACGGGUAACGGGGAAUCAGGGACCCUGAGAAACGGCUACCACAUGCAAGGAAGGCAGCAGGCGUGCAAAUGACCCACUCCCGAUGCGGGAAGGUAGUGA